rnacentral:misc_RNA from 1 species
GAAAUGCGAUAAUUAAUGUGAAUUGCAGAAUUCAGUGAAUCAUCGAGUCUUUGAACGCACAUUGCGCCCCCUGGUAUUCCGGGGGGGAUGCCUGUCCGAGCGUCAUUGCUGCCCUCAAGCACGGCUUGUGUGUUGGGCUUCCGUCCCUGGCAACGGGGACGGGCCCAAAAGGCAGUGGCGGCACCAUGUCUGGUCCUCGAGCGUAUGGGGCUUUGUCACCCGCUCCCGUAGGUCCAGCUGGCAGCUAGCCUCGCAACCAAUCUUUUUAACCAGGUUGACCUCGGAUCAGGUAGGGAUACCCGCUGAACUUAAGC